UACGGAGGAUCCGAGCGUUAUCCGGAUUUAUUGGGCUUAAAGGGUGCGUAGGCGGCCUAUUAAGUCAGGGGUGAAAGACGGUAGCUUAACUAUCGCAGUGCCUUUGAUACUGAUAGGCUUGAAUGUACUUGAGGUAGGCGGAAUGUGACAAGUAGCGGUGAAAUGCAUAGAUAUGUCACAGAACACCAAUUGCGAAGGCAGCUUACUAAAGUAUGAUUGACGCUGAGGCACGAAAGCGUGGGGAUCAAACAGG
rnacentral:rRNA from 1 species